rnacentral:rRNA from 1 species
AACGAACGCUGGCGGCGUGCCUAAUACAUGCAAGUCGAACGAGAGGAUGGGGUAACCCAUUAGUAAAGUGGCAGACGGGUGAGUAAUACAUAAGUAACUUACCUUUUAGUUGGGGAUAACCUUCCGAAAGGAGGGCUAAUACCGAAUAAGACCACAAGAACUACGGUUCUAGGGGUUAAAGGUGGCUUCGGCUAUCGCUAAAAGAUGGGCUUAUGCACCAUCAGGUAGUUGGUAAGGUAACGGCUUACCAAGCCUAUGACGGUUAACUGAUCUGAGAGGUUGAUCAGUCACACUGGAACUGAGACACGGUCCAGACUCCUACGGGAGGCAGCAGUAGGGAAUAUUGCGCAAUGGAGGAAACUCUGACGCAGCGACGCCGCGUGGGUGAUGAAGGCUUUCGGGUCGUAAAGCCCUGUCGGAGGAGAAGAAAACGGUAAUGGCUAAUAUCCAUACCGCUUGACGGUAUCCUUAAAGGAAGCACCGGCUAACUACGUG